ACUCAGGUGGUCAGGUAGAGAAUACCAAGGCGAUCGGGUGAACUGUGGUUAAGGAACUCGGCAAAUUGCCCCCGUAACUUCGGGAGAAGGGGGACCUCUGCUGGUGAUGGGCUCUACGUUCUGAGCUGGUGGGGGUCGCAGUGGCCAGGGGGAAGCGACUGUUUACUAAAAACACAGGUCCGUGCGAAGUCGUAAGACGAUGUAUACGGACUGACGCCUGCCCGGUGCCGGAACGUUAAGGGGACCGCUUAGCCAGCUUCGGUUGGCGAAGGUGAGAACUUAAGCGCCGGUAAACGGCGGUGGUAACUAUAACCAUCCUAAGGUAGCGAAAUUCCUUGUCGGGUAAGUUCCGACCUGCACGAAUGGCGUAACGACUUCCCCGCUGUCUCAACCACAGACCCGGCGAAAUUGCACUACGAGUAAAGAUGCUCGUUUCGCGCAGCAGGACGGAAAGACCCCGGGACCUUCACUACAGCUUGACAUUGGCGUUUGGAACGUCUUGUGUAGGAUAGGUGGGAGACUAGGAAGCUGUCACGCUAGUGAUGGUGGAGUCAUUGGUGAAAUACCACUCUGGUCGUUUUGAACGUCUAACUCUGGUCCGUGAUCCGGAUCGGGGACAGUGUCUGGUGGGUAGUUUAACUGGGGCGGUUGCCUCCUAAAGAGUAACGGAGGCGCCCAAAGGUUCCCUCAGCCUGGUUGGCAAUCAGGUGUUGAGUGUAAGUGCACAAGGGAGCUUGACUGUGAGACUGACAGGUCGAGCAGGAGCGAAAGCUGGGACUAGUGAUCCGGCAUCGGCGUGUGGAAGCGGUGUCGCUCAACGGCUAAAAGGUACCCCGGGGAUAACAGGCUGAUCUUCCCCAAGAGUCCAUAUCGACGGGAUGGUUUGGCACCUCGAUGUCGGCUCGUCGCAUCCUGGGGCUGGAGUAGGUCCCAAGGGUUGGGCUGUUCGCCCAUUAAAGCGGUACGCGAGCUGGGUUUAGAACGUCGCGAGACAGUUCGGUCCCUAUCCGCUGCGCGCGCAGGAGACUUGAAGGGGGCUGUCCCUAUUACGAGAGGACCGGGACGGACGAACCUCUGGUGUGCCAGUUGUACCGCCAGGUGCACGGCUGGUUGGCUACGUUCGGAAGGGAUAACCGCUGAAAGCAUCUAAGCGGGAAGCUCGCCUUGAGAUGAGGUCUCCCACCCCGUGAGGGGGUAAGGCUCCCGGUAGAUCACCGGGUUGAUAGGCCGGAGGUGGAAGCACGGUAACGUGUGGAGCUGACCGGUACUAAUAGGCCGAGGACUUGAUCAA
rnacentral:rRNA from 1 species